rnacentral:rRNA from 1 species
AACGAACGCUGGCGGCAUGCCUAACACAUGCAAGUCGAACGGGAUCCUAGCUUGCUAGGUGAGAGUGGCGGACGGGUGAGUAACACGUGGGAAUCUGCCUUUUUGGUUCGGGAUAACCGCGGGAAACUGCGGCUAAUACCGAAUGCCCUCGAGAGAGGAAAGAUUUAUCGCCAGAAGAGGAGCCCGCGUCCGAUUAGGUAGUUGGUGGGGUAAAGCCUACCAAGCCGACGAUCGGGUAGCUGGUCUGAGAGGAUGAUCAGCCACACUGGGACUGAGAUACGGCCCAGACUCCUACGGGAGGCAGCAGUGGGGAAUAUUGGACAAUGGGGGCAACCCUGAUCCAGCAAUGCCGCGUGAGUGAUGAAGG